rnacentral:rRNA from 1 species
CCUACGGGGGGCAGCAGUGAGGAAUAUUGGUCAAUGGGCGCGAGCCUGAACCAGCCAAGUAGCGUGAAGGAUGACUGCCCUACGGGUUGUAAACUUCUUUUAUCAGGGAAUAAAGUGCGGCACGUGUGCCUUUUUGUAUGUACUUUAUGAAUAAGGAUCGGCUAACUCCGUGCCAGCAGCCGCGGUAAUACGGAGGGGCCGAGCGUUAUCCGGAUUUAUUGGGUUUAAAGGGAGCGUAGAUGGGUUGUUAAGUGUGUUGUGAAAGGUCGUGGCUCAACCGUGGAAUUGCAGUGGAUACUGGCUGGCUUGAGUACGGGUGAGGUAGGCGGAAUUCGUGGUGUAGCGGUGAAAUGCUUAGAUAUCACGAAGAACUCCGAUUGCGAAGGCAGCUUACUGAACCGCUACUGACACUGAUGCUCGAAAGCGUGGGUAUCAAACAGGAUUAGAUACCCGAGUAGUC